AGGACUUGCGACGUUUACUUUGAAAAAAUUAGAGUGUUCAAAGCAGGCCAUCGCUUGAAUACAUAAGCAUGGAAUAAUGGAAUAGGACUUUGGUUCUAUUUUGUUGGUUUCUGGAACCGGAGUAAUGAUUAAGAGGGACAGUUGGGG
rnacentral:ncRNA from 1 species